rnacentral:tRNA from 1 species
GGUUCGUUAGUGUAGGGGUCUAUCACGCUUGCCUGUCACGCAAGAGAUCACGGGUUCAAAUCCCGUACGAACCGCCA